UAAUGAGUGUUUAUGGCACUUUUAAAAAUCCAUACCCACCUUGUGUGCAUCGUUAGUCAUGUGCCUUGUUCUCUCUUGAGAGAGCGAGGAGGCAGACUUCAAAUUAAUCUAUCUUUAACCAGUUUGUCUGAUAACAUAUUAUGAAUAUACUUAAUUCAAAAUA
rnacentral:misc_RNA from 1 species